rnacentral:rRNA from 1 species
GGGGAAUCUUCCGCAAUGGGCGAAAGCCUGACGCAGCAACGCCGCGUGGAGGAUGAAGGCCCUWGGGUUGUAAACUCCUGUCGGCUGGGAAGAAAUCGUUCGUGGCUCAUACCCACGGACGUUGACUGUACCAGCAAAGGAAGCCCCGGCUAACUCUGUGCCAGCAGCCGCGGUAAUACAGAGGGGGCUAGCGUUAUUCGGAAUUAUUGGGCGUAAAGGGCACGUAGGCGGCCAUGCGUGUCUUCCGUGAAAUCCCUCGGCUUAACUGAGGACGUGCGGAAGAAACUGCAAGGCUCGAGUCCGGGAGAGGGGGGUGGAAUUCCCAGUGUAGCGGUGAAAUGCGUAGAUAUUGGGAGGAACACCGGUGGCGAAGGCGGCCCCCUGGACCGGUACUGACGCUGAGGCGCGAAAGCGUGGGUAGCAAAAGGGAUUAGAUACCCCUGUAGUCA